ensembl:lncRNA
GUUUCUUCUUAAAAAUUCAUGUUCAUAUUUUUAGGUCCAAAUCGGUAGUGUUUUCUUGGCUAAAUAUGAGGAUCAUAACUGACUCUACAGAGAUUAUUCUAGAGCACCUGACUUCCCACAAUGUUCCAACUAAGGAAAACACUCACUGAGAGUGGAGCCAGACCCCAUGCCCAGCAUAACUUGCCUCUGGGCCCUUGUUGACACAACUUUUCUUUCUGUCUAAUGGCAAUGAUCUUUCUUCUUUCUUUGCCAUUUGCCUUUCAAAAUUUGAUCUCUGGUUUCAUUAUAGUUCCCUUUACUUAGACUUUAGAAAUCACCUCAGUGGAAUGUUUCUGAUUCCUUUGUUGGAAUAUUCUUAGCUCUUUAGAAUUUUUCCAGAAUUCUGACCCUGGCUGUAGAUUCUAGACUUUGAAAUAUAUGAAUUCUUGACCUUCUGUGAUGAUUAAUUUUCUGUGUCAGCUUGACUGGGCUAAGGGUUACCAGAUAGCUGGUAAAAUAUUACUUCUGGGUGUGUCUGUGAGGGUGCUUCUGGAAGAGAUUAGCACUUGGUUCAGUGCACUGAGUAAAGCAGAUGGCCUUCCCCAAUGUGGUGGACAUUGUCCAGGCCACUGAGGGCCCAAGUAGAGCAAAAACGCAGAGGAAGGGUGAAUUCACUUUCUCUUCUUGAGCUGAGACAUCUAUCUACUCCUGCUGGUGGACAUCAGACAUCAGCUCCUUGUUCUUGGGCUUUGGGACUCAGACUGGGACUUACACUGUCAGCACCCCCUGACUCAGAUCUUGAUCCACAUGGAACCAUUGUUGGAUACUCAGGUAGUAGUAGCAGAAGUACAGAGUUUGAGAAGAAGUACCUGUGAGCCUAAGACCCAUGUUCACUGCCAUUUGACCACUGGACUGCUGGAGGAAUCAGAGGAAGGCAGGGAUUGGAAGCUAUGACUGCCAACAUCCCAAGCUGGCCACACUUCAAAAGCACCAGCUCUCAGAAGCAGUAUCUCUGGGAGUGGCACCAUUGGCAGAAUCUGGCUCAUCAUUGACCUGGAGACCCCGGCUCUGUAUAGCAGCCCAUCCAGGCAAACGUGCCUGUGGUUGACCCACAAAAUGCACUCACUCUGUGAGGGGCAAUAUUCAUCUGAUUGAAUGACUUGAAUGGGCCAGGGUUAGUUAUGUCUGCACAGAAAUCUACGCUGUAUUUUUCUUUUUCAAAGCUAUGAACUCCACUUGUCAGAAUAAAGAAUUUUUUUUUUUUUGCAAGAUUUCUCUCUGUCUCUGACUUCUCACGUUUCUUCUCUGCUACAUUAGCCCUGAAUGAGCUGUAAAUGGGAUAAUGUGGAGCAUGGGAAGGAUAAGAUGUUCAAUGGGGACAAGGCAGGGAGGGCAAUCCUUUUCAUAGUUGAUCUUCUAAUGACUUGUUCAGUCUUCCAGGUGGCCAGCCCCGUCAUCAGUACUAGCACUUUAGACAGUGUAUCCUUCCAGCUGCUAGUAUCUUUGUCAUACCUACUGUUGCAUUCAGUGCCACUCUGACAGGGCAAUGUUGGCAGAAUUUUUCUAACCUCAGGUACAAAAGCAAAGAAAAACAGUUAAAUGAUAAAUGGAUCAGAGCCAUUUCUUAUCUCCCCUUGGAAGGAAAUACAUUUUUUUUUUCUUUUUCCUCAGACAAAUGAGGGUGAAUUAAGACAGGCUUGUUGUGGGUAAAGAGAUGAAUCAAAGAAUUUCCUUAUGUUUCAAUCAAUACUAAGUGCUUUGACAUAUGUUUUCCACUGGGAGGGAGGAACUGGGGUUGUCAUAGAGUAAUUAGAAGCUGGUGCGCUGAGCAUUGUAUAUGCCCUUCAACCAAAUACCACAGGUAGUUAAGCCUUUUUGUGUGUCUCUGUGGCAGGGAUCCUCCUUUCUGGCGGUGAUGGAGAAGUGUCUGCAGAUGUUUUCUGCAGAUGUCUCCCAGUGGGGACUCCCUCUUACUGACUGCUUUUUCUUGUCACCUGCUUCCUUUCUUCAUUCCCAUAUCUAUCCAUUUCCUCACAGUGAACUUUUUGCUGCUAUGCUUGUGUGUCUCACACCUGCAUCCUACAUCCCUUGACUCUGACUUAGCUCUGUCCCUUCUUCCUUACAUCUGCAACCUGGCAAGAAGGCCACCUGUUCUUUUCCAGAUCUCUUGUCAAAACUCACUUUUGGGAGACAUUUUCAGUACAUUACCACAAUAAGUGCAUUUCUAAAGAUUAACAGUUGGAUAUUCAAAAGAAGGAAAAAUG